rnacentral:rRNA from 1 species
AACGAACGCUGGCGGCGUGGAUUAGGCAUGCAAGUCGAACGCGAAAGAGGGGGUAACUCCUCGAGUAGAGUGGCGAACGGGUGAGUAACACGUGAGAAACCUGCCUUCAGCAGGGGGAUAACACUCCCAACGGGGUGCUAAUACCGCAUGAGACCACGGAUUCGCAUGGAUCUGGGGUCAAAGGUGGCCUCUGCUUGCAAGCUACCGGCUGAAGAUGGUCUCGCGUCCCAUUAGCUAGUUGGUGGGGUAAUGGCCCACCAAGGCGACGAUGGGUAGCUGGUCUGAGAGGAUGGUCAGCCACACUGGGACUGAGAUACGGCCCAGACUCCUACGGGA